rnacentral:lncRNA from 1 species
AUAGCCUCGGACAUAAAUUCUCUCUGACUUAAGUAUCGGAGGGACGACAAUGACACCACUUGACGCAUUUGUUUUAGUUAUUAAAAGAUCUUGUUCACGCUCAGUUUCAAUCAUCGAGUUCGAAAAUCAACAGGUAUGAUUUUUGAUAGUAUCAAUAAGGAUUGGAUGGGAAUAUACACACACACACACGAACUGAUCCAUGUUUUAAAGUGAAACGGACACUUUUCUCUUAUUUUAGAACUUGGGCUAAAUUAAAAGAUAACAAAGAGCAGCAAUAAAAUUCAAACUUCCGCUUGCAAGCACAAGAAUUUAUCUUCUUUUAUUUCUCUUAAUUUAAGAAAGUCGAUGAUAUUUUUAGUCCCUACCAUUUUAUUUUAUUUUUAAUUCAAACACAAGUUACUUUUCAUUGCUAGGACAACGGAAUGUAAUCUAUGCUUUUUACUCUUUAAUUUAAUUAUCGAUGUUUUGCAUUAAAGUAUGAAUUCAUGUUCAAUUUUUUUUAUUGUUAUUAAUGUUGAGAUCGAGGGUUAAAUAUAUGUUAAUGCUCGUGGUAAUUAAUGUCAUAAAUUUGCAGGGAUGGAUCCAAGUUUGAAUUCAAGACCAGACUAAAAAAUUUCAAAUUGGGCUAAUAUGCAGAAAAAAAUAUCUCAUUAAAAAUCUGUUUUUACAAAAAAAUAAAGAAAAUUACCCUAAAAAAAAUUUAAUUGGACCCGGUGGGGGGGGGGGGGGGCCUAAAUCCGUAAAUUUGUGUACGAGAUAGAAAUAUAUUUCUAUGGUCUGUGUCGAAUUAAAUGAACUUUUGUUGAUUUUAAUGGUAACUAAGUAUGCUUAUUUCUGAGCUUUUGUUAGUUAUUUUAGUCUAGUUUUUAUUAAUUUUGUGUUGCUUUCUUGAUUUAGGGUGAUUACAGAGUUCGGAUAGCGUUGUUGAUAAAAGUGAUAAAAAGAGUGUUUUGAACUCAAUGCAAUGGCAAGACCGAACAAGACAAACGACACCACAAAUGACUAAAAGAAAGAGAAUGAUAAAAAAAAAAAAAAUGGAAGUACUUGAUGAUGUGCCCUAGUUUGCUUACAAUGAUUACAGACUUUCUAAGGACAAUCACGAGCAAUAUGACAGAAUCCUUUGCAAUCAAAGCACUGGAGUUCACCCUUUCCUUAUUCUUGGGCAGCAUAUGCCACGAUUACCUCAUUAGAGGAGGAUAUAUUAGCUUCCAUAGUAGUUUGGGUAGUUAGUCGUUGCUUCUCACGUAAAAGUUCACUAAAGCACACAUCCAAAAAAGGAAUUGGAUCGUGUGAUUCAAUAAACUCGCUUGAGCAACUUCAAAUUCAGUUCGUAAUUUCAUAAGAAACUGAUCCCACUUAUCAAUCUCUUGUAGAGCCGCCGCAAGGACGUUAGCAUAAAUUAUGCAAGAGUAUUCACUUCACAAUUUCAAGAAACCAGAAUAAUAUUGCUCAAUAGUUAGAUUACCUUGAGUGUAAUUGGCAAUCUUUAGCUCCAACUGAAGUAUCCGUGAUAGAUAUGAAUUAUUUUCAUAUCUUCUUAGCCAUGGUGAAAGAGAGUAAUUUAUUCAUCAUAUGCACCUCCAUAGAUCCCAAAAGUCAGAAAAUAUUACAUUUCGUCAAUUUAUCAUCGAUGUCGUUCUACUUUUAUUUGUUUCUUUCUUUCCAUUAACAUGAUAGGCUAAAUUAAUUUUGUAUUAGGAUUACGAUGAAACUUAUAUCAUGACCCCUUUGAUUUUCGAACUUUAUUUACUUUUUAGCUCAAAG